ACACACACACACACACACACACACACACACACACACGUCUCUCUCUCUCUCUCUCUCUCUCUCUCUCUCUGUGUGUGUGUGUGUGUGUGUGUGU